rnacentral:rRNA from 1 species
AGCGAACGCUGGCGGCAUGCUUAACACAUGCAAGUCGCACGGGCAGCUUCGGCUGUCAGUGGCGGACGGGUGAGUAACGCGUAGGUAUCUAUCCUUGGGUGGGGGACAACCGUGGGAAACUACGGCUAAUACCGCAUGAAACCUGUGGGUCAAAGGCGCAAGUCGCCUGGGGAGGAGCCUGCGUACGAUUAGCUAGUUGGUGGGGUAAAGGCCUACCAAGGCUGUGAUCGUUAGCUGGUCUGAGAGGAUGAUCAGCCACAUUGGGACUGAGACACGG